GGAGAAUUUUGUGGAAGAAAAAACAAAAAGUAAAAUUUUGGGUCCAAUCUCUUCGUUUUCUUAGUAUAAGGUCGAUUUGGGUCUCUGGGUUUCUUUCAAAAUCAACAAAAAAGAAAGGUCCUUUGAGGUAUUUGCACAAAGAGAAUCCACAAAGCAAAAAGGGGAAGGGAAUUGAAAGGUUUUUGAAGAAGAAAUGGUUUUCAUGUGUGAGAUUUUCUUCACUGGAGGAAAAUUAGAAGGAGAGUGGGAGAAGGAGAGAUAACACAAGAAGAAGAAGAAGAAGAAGAAGAAGAUCCAAUUUUGGCUAAAAUUUCAUAAUAGAAGUGGAAAAAGGUGGGAUCUUUAAACAAAGAACAAGAACCCUGAGUUUUUUGUUUCAUCUGCUUAUCUACCGGGGUAAUUGGCAAUGUCUGCUACAAUAAUGAGUGAACCAAUGGUGGUAUCAGCCCCAACACAGGAAACUCAAGCAACACCAGCAAAACUCGUCUCACAAACCGAUGUCGAGUUCGCCAAAUGCGAUUGCUGUGGACUCACCGAGGUGUACCCCGGCCUAUAUCGAAACGGUAUGCCAACGGUAUCAAGGGAAAUGGAUAUGUGGCCUCUGUGCUGAAGCAAUCAAAGAUGAGAUCAUAAGGACUGAAAGGCUUAUCAGUACUGAGGAAGCAAUGGUUAGGCACAUGAACUUUUGCCAAAAAUUCGUCUCCUCCAGACCGCCUCCUGAUCCUACAGUUCAUCUCAUAUCUGCUAUGAGAAGUAUUCUUAGAAAAAGUUUGGAUCCCGCGAGAGGUUUAAGAUCGACCCCUCCGAUUAGUCCUACAGGAAAGGCCAUUCAAAUCCGAGUCCCGGGUUUACUCGGUCUGAAUGUUGUUUCACUGCCAUGUCUGGAUGAUAGAGGUAUAAGAGGUGAUGAAAAGGGAAUGCAGAGCAUGGAAUGAACAUUGGGUGGAACACAAGGGAAAAGAAAGAGUUGGGUUCAAAAUGA